rnacentral:rRNA from 2 species
UGCAGUCGAGCGAAGCGAUUUAGCGGAAGUUUUCGGAUGGAAGUUAACUUGACUGAGCGGCGGACGGGUGAGUAACGCGUGGGUAACCUGCCUCAUACAGGGGGAUAACAGUUAGAAAUGACUGCUAAUACCGCAUAAGCGCACAGCAUCGCAUGAUGCAGUGUGAAAAACUCCGGUGGUAUGAGAUGGACCCGCGUCUGAUUAGCUAGUUGGUGAGGUAAAGGCCCACCAAGGCGACGAUCAGUAGCCGACCUGAGAGGGUGAUCGGCCACAUUGGGACUGAGACACGGCCCAAACUCCUACGGGAGGCAGCAGUGGGGAAUAUUGCACAAUGGGGGAAACCCUGAUGCAGCAACGCCGCGUGAGUGAAGAAGUAUUUCGGUAUGUAAAGCUCUAUCAGCAGGGAAGAAAAUGACGGUACCUGACUAAGAAGCCCCGGCUAACUACGUGCCAGCAGCCGCGGUAAUACGUAGGGGGCAAGCGUUAUCCGGAUUUACUGGGUGUAAAGGGAGCGUAGACGGCGAAGCAAGUCUGAAGUGAAAGCCCGGGGCUUAACCCCGGGACUGCUUUGGAAACUGUUUUGCUAGAGUGCUGGAGAGGUAAGUGGAAUUCCUAGUGUAGCGGUGAAAUGCGUAGAUAUUAGGAGGAACACCAGUGGCGAAGGCGGCUUACUGGACAGUAACUGACGUUGAGGCUCGAAAGCGUGGGGAGCAAACAGGAUUAGAUACCCUGGUAGUCCACGCGGUAAACGAUGAAUGCUAGGUGUUG